rnacentral:misc_RNA from 1 species
CAAUUCAACAGAAGGUCCAUGGUGGGGAAACAACUCAACCGAAGGUCCAUGGUGGGGAAACAACUCAACCGAAGGUCCAUGGUGGGGAAACAACUCUACUGAGGGUCCA